CCAAUAGCGUAUAUUAAAGUUGUUGCAGUUAAAAAGCUCGAAGUUGAAUUUCGAGAUCAAUUUGUGGGUCGUGCCUCGGUACGUACUGGCAUUAUUGAUUUCUCCCUUCUGAAGAACCGCGAUGUAAUUACUUUGGUGUCGUGGGGAAUCAGGACUGUUACUUUGAAAAAAUUAGAGUGUUUAAAGCGAGCUUACGCUUGAAUACAUUAGCAUGGAAUAAUGAAAUAGGACGUUUGAUUCUAUUUUGUUGGUUUCUAGGAUCGACGUAAUGAUUAAUAGGGAUAGUUGGGGGCAUUAGUAUUCAAUUGUCAGAGGUGAAAUUCUUGGAUUUAUUGAAGACUAACUACUGCGAAAGCAUUUGCCAAGGAUGUUUUCAUUAAUCAAGAACGAAAGUUAGGGGAUCGAAGACGAUCAGAUACCGUCGUAGUCUUAACCAUAAACUAUGCCGACUAGGGAUCGGAUGAUGUUAAUUUUUUAAUGACUCAUUCGGCGCCUUACG
rnacentral:rRNA from 1 species